rfam:Canis lupus familiaris chromosome 34, whole genome shotgun sequence.
UCCCUGGUUAAUCCCUCACUAGGACAUGCCUGUCUCUAAAGUUAAUCCAUGGACAUCCUAGCUACUUGCGGGUGGUGUGGUCAUGUUCAAAAGGCUUUGAGUACUGUUUCUUCUCCUACCUGGAUAACUGUGGUAAUUGUGGAACUAAUUGAUGUCCACAGGCACCAGCAACUCUGGUAAUUCUAGAUAACCUAGAUCAGUUGCAUAUCCCAUGGACCUGUCAGCUAUUUUAGGUAGAAGUCAUAGUGCCUACAGUGGCAACCAUGGUACCCAUGAAUCCGGGUUUGGUACCGUAAAGGGAGCUUGUCGAUCAUCUACUCCAACCAAGAAAGGCAGCAAAUAUGUAGAUUACCUACUUGAGACGUGGGACAGCAGUGAUGAAAAAUAACACUGAACUCUUUUGAGAGCCUCUAUUUGGGGCAGCCCCGGUGGCGCAGCGGUUUAGCGCCGCUGCAGCCCAGGGCGUGAUCCUGGAGACCCCGGAUCCAGUCCCACGUCAGGCUCUCUGUAUGGUGCCUGCUUCUCCCUCUGCCUGUGUCUGUCUGUCUGUCUGUCUGUCUCUCUCUCUCUAUGAAUAAAUAAAUAAAAUCUUAAAAAAAAAGAGAGAGAGAGAGAGCCUCUAUUUGGAAUGAAUCCAUUUUAAAUCCUUUAAGGAGGAUCCACUGCAGGGGAAGUCUGGUACUGGCUGCCAUGGUAAUCCCAGCUCCAGUACAGGUAUUGAAUUUGGUGCAGUUAAAAAUGCUUAUUUGAUGUUGGACCUCCCACAGGGGCAGCAGCAGAUCCACCAGGGUAUCUUCCUUCCAACCCCCUUCCCCAAAAGCUCUUGGCUCUUGGUGCAGUUUCCUUAGGCUGAGGUAUACAUUUGGAGAAAAUUAGAAUGCUCAAAGCAGACUUGGGCUGCCAGGAUACUGUCCUGAGAAUCCUGGAAUUCUGGUGUCGUUCUGUUGUGUCAGAACUUUGCAGAAGCUGAUUAGGCAGGAUUGUUCAUGCUGCAUUGCUAGAGUCCGAAGUCCUAGACUGAUACAAGACGGAAGAUGUUUUCAUUAAUCAAGGAUGAAGGUGAAAGUGGGAGGUUUGAAGAGGCUUGGAAUCCCAUGUAUCCCGUGUAGUUCUGACCAUAAAUGAUGCCGACAGCCACAUCGUUCUCAUGACCCUCAGGUUGCUUCCAGGGAACCAAAGUUCUUCAGGUGGUGGUAGCUGGCGGGUAUGGUUCCAAAGUGAAACUGAAAGACAUAGCCCUGGAGGGUGUGCUUGAUUUGACUCAACCUGGACAACAACCCCUUCUGGCUACCCUGCAGAUAGACCUGGCAUAGCAAAAGCUGUUCUGUGGGUAGUGGCAUAUUACGGACUUCUGUGUUGGCAGUGAUUUGCCUGGCUUAUUAAUAACUAGGGGGAUUAGUGCACUAACCAGUUAGCUAGCCUGAGUACUCCACAGCCCUCAACUUCAGUAAGUGGUGCUCAGCCAUCUAGAGUGAGCAACAUGGUGCUUUUUAAUGUUGGGGGCCGAGAGCCGCACUGCUCAGUGUGUGUGUACCCUAGUCCCAGUGGGCACUGGGGACUGGUUAAAUCCAUUAAUGUUGGGCUUGGAUUGCAGUUUUUCCUUGUUAACAAGGAAUUCCAUUGAGUAGAUCAAAAGUUUUCCUUAAGUCCCUGCCUCUAGUACACACUGCUUGUCGCCCUUCAGGUUGUCCAUUGGGGUGGGCACUUGGCCUUGGAGAUCACAGAGAAUAUGGUCUAAAUGUUGCAACCAGGUUUCCAUAGGUUGUCCUGCAGAGGGAGCAUUC